UACGGGAGGCAGCAGUGGGGAAUAUUGCACAAUGGGCGCAAGCCUGAUGCAGCCAUGCCGCGUGUAUGAAGAAGGCCUUCGGGUUGUAAAGUACUUUCAGUCGUGAGGAAGGUGUUAAGGUUAAUAACCUUAGCAAUUGACGUUAGCGACAGAAGAAGCACCGGCUAACUCCGUGCCAGCAGCCGCGGUAAUACGGAGGGUGCGAGCGUUAAUCGGAAUUACUGGGCGUAAAGGGCACGCAGGCGGUUAAUUAAGUUGGAUGUGAAAUCCCCGGGCUUAACCUGGGAAUGGCAUUCAAGACUGGUUAGCUAGAGUCUUGUAGAGGGGGUAGAAUUCCAUGUGUAGCGGUGAAAUGCGUAGAGAUGUGGAGGAAUACCGGUGGGCGAAGGCGGGCCCCUGGGACAAAGGACUGACGCUCAUGUGCGAAAGCGUGGGGAGCAAACAGGGAUUAGAUACC
rnacentral:rRNA from 1 species